rnacentral:rRNA from 1 species
AACGAACGCUGGCGGCAUGCCUAACACAUGCAAGUCGAACGAGAACUCCGGGCCUUGUGGCGCACGGGUGCGUACCGACUGGUAACUUGCACUUAGGUACGGAAUCCCUCACUGUAGGGUAUGUUAAUACAGGAUAAUCCCAUAGGACCAAAGAUUUAUUGCUAUGGGAUGGGGGCGCGUUGGUUUCGUCAGUUGGUAGGGUACAAGCCUACCAUCGCGACGUUCCAGAGCUGGUCUGUGAGGAUGAUCUGCCACACUGGGACUGAGACACGGGCUAGACUCGGACGGGGGGGAGCAGAGUGGAAUAUUGGGCGAGGAGCGAAAGCCUGAUCCAGCAAUGCCGCGGGAGUGAGGAAGGCCUUAGGGUUGUAAAUCUCUUUGACCCGGGAUGAUAAUGACAGUACCGGGUGAAUAAGCACCGGCUAACUCCGUG